AAGAUUUUAGUUUAUAAAAAAUAAUUAAUUUGCAGUUAGGAGAAAAAAUUUUUUAAAUCUUA
rnacentral:tRNA from 1 species